UUAGUGGAAGCGUCUGGAAAGGCGCGCGAUACAGGGUGACAGCCCCGUACACAAAAGCGCAUGUGCUGUGAGCUCGAUGAGUAGGGCGGGACACGUGGUAUCCUGUCUGAAUAUGGGGGGACCAUCCUCCAAGGCUAAAUACUCCUGACUGACCGAUAGUGAACCAGUACCGUGAGGGAAAGGCGAAAAGAACCCCGGCGAGGGGAGUGAAAAAGAACCUGAAACCGUGUACGUACAAGCAGUGGGAGCCCCACCACUAAGCCAGUGGUGAACUCCACAUACGCAUCCUUUGCUGAGGAUACGGUUAACGGAGCGAAAGCGACGUUCAACCUCAAAAGAAGCAGAGGGGGCUUAGUGGUGGGGUGACUGCGUACCUUUUGUAUAAUGGGUCAGCGACUUAUAUUCUGUAGCAAGGUUAACCGWAUAGGGGAGCCGKAGGGAAACCGAGUCUUAAYYGGGCGUUAAGUUGCAGGGUAUAGACCCGAAACCCGGUGAUCUAGCCAUGGGCAGGUUGAAGGUUGGGUAACACUAACUGGAGGACCGAACCGACUAAUGUUGAAAAAUUAGCGGAUGACCUGUGGCUGGGGGUGAAAGGCCAAUCAAACCGGGAGAUAGCUGGUUCUCCCCGAAAGCUAUUUAGGUAGCGCCUCGUGAAUUCAUCUCCGGGGGUAGAGCACUGUUUCGG
rnacentral:rRNA from 1 species